GGGGGCGACAUGGCUUCGACGCUGGUAACGAAACCUCAUGGUGCAUGCCGAGAAGUGCAACAAUUCUCGUAAAUCCUUUGUCGCAUAAUAAAGUAAUCGCAAAUAACGAUACUUACGCUCUAGCGGCGUAGCAAUACGAAGCUAACCGACGGACGAAUUUGCUUGUGGAUUUCUCUGUCGGGCGCAUAGACACAAGAUCGUGACAAAGCUUGCCUGAAGCCGCGUCGUUAAAACUUAUCAGGAUCGCGGUAAAUGCCCUGUCUGUCGGGUUGUUUACUGCUAAAUCAAUAGACAAGACUAAGCAUGUAGAUCCAUAGGCAGAGUGCUGACGGACGCGGGUUCGAUUCCCGCCGCCUCCACCA
rnacentral:tmRNA from 1 species